ACAGCCCGCACCCACCUACCAAUCCUCGACCCCCUCCACCCAAAACAAAAUCAGUGGCCGCAGCCAGCUCAGCGGACCGCAGGUGCGCGUUCGGCUAUAACUCUCAUUUUCAGCAAGCUCGCCGGCGAGUGAGUGAAGAAUGGAAUCAUGGGAAACAGCGGUGGCUCUCAUAAACAUUUUACAAGGAUGAUUACGUACUGGUUAGACUGGAGAAAUCUCCAGCCAUGGUGAAAUCAAUCACAGACGGACACCCUCUAUCGUAACCGCAAACAAUGCUCUACUCUGAGCAGGUCCUGAAUGGUCUAGACUUGGAGAACAGACAAACCUGGAUCUUCAGAAAUUACAGCAUCUCCCGUACACGAGCAGGCCUGUCAACUCCCCUUAAAGCCCAAGAGGAUGAUUAAUGGGCAGGUAAAGACUUUCCGAGCCAUGUCUAGAUUCCUCAGCUAGGCCUCAGCGUGCAGAUAAAAGUCAAAGCGGAUCACAGAACCAAAAGCAUUCUCCUGCUAGAACAAAAAGCCUCGUCACACAGAAAGCUUUCUGCAUUCUCUGCAAUCCCCAACACGUUCAGGCAGGUAACGGAUAUCCCGGGAAACAGCCAGUGGUCUGUCAGCUUGCUUCAUCAAUUUGGACCUGAAGACAGUGAUUUCACCCCAUGUGCCUCUGAAUAGAGUGAAGCGACAUCAAAGACGCACUGAGCAAAUAAGCUGUAUGCAAACGAGUGAGCCAGAGAGAUGGGUUAAUUGGGGAAAGGAGAGUUCCAGCAAUCUGUUUCAUUGCUUUUUGCUCUCUGCAUUGGAAAGAUGCUAGACAUGGAAGCAUGGAAGUUUUCCCCAUGGAAGAUGGAGCUGAAUGCGGCUUGUUUGUUGUAUUGCGCUUCUGUAUCUGCAGGACUGAAGCCAACGGUUUGUUCACAGUGAGGUCUCGAUCUCAACACUGAGCUCUUGGAUUUCUUUAGUCAAUGUGGGAAUGAAAGUAUGUUGUGAUACAGUCAGUGAGAGAUUAUGUCCAUCUAUCCUUCUGUGUCUAUUUAAUCACAGAUAAUAAAACAACAAAUGAUAGUAAUACA
ensembl:lncRNA